rnacentral:rRNA from 1 species
UACGGGGGGAGCAAGCGUUGUUCGGAUUUACUGGGCGUAAAGGGCGCGUAGGCGGUCAGCACAAGUCAGUUGUGAAAUCUCCGGGCUUAACUCGGAAAGGUCAACUGAUACUGUGCGACUAGAGUGCGGAAGGGGCAACUGGAAUUCUCGGUGUAGCGGUGAAAUGCGCAGAUAUCGGGAGGAACACCUAUGGCGAAGGCAGCUCGCUGGGACGUUACUGACGCUGAGGAGCGAAAGCGUGGGGAGCGAACAGG